rnacentral:rRNA from 1 species
GACGAACGCUGGCGGCGUGCUUAACACAUGCAAGUCGAACGGAAAGGCCUGCUUUCCCUUGUGGAUUGCGGGUACUCGAGUGGCGAACGGGUGAGUAACACGUGAGUGAUCUGCCCCCAACUUGGGUAUAAGCCUGGGAAACUGGGUCUAAUUCCCGAUAGGACUGCAGGGUGGUGCCUGUGGUGGAAAACGAUUUUCUAGUGGUUGGGGAUGAGCUCGCGGCCUAUCAGCUUGUUGGUGGGGUAAUGGCCUACCAAGGCGGCGACGGGUAGCCGGCCUGAGAGGGUGGACGGCCACAUUGGGACUGAGAUACGGCCCAGACUCCUACGGGAGGCAGCAGUGGGGAAUAUUGCACAGUGGGCGGAAGCCUGAUGCAGCGACGCCGCGUGGGGGAUGACGGCCUUCGGGUUGUAAACUCCUUUCGACCGCGAGGAAGCCACCUGGUUGGAGGGGUGGUGACGGUAGUGGUAGAAGAAGCACCGGCUAACUACGUG